CCUAUCUUUUCUUCUCGAACACGUCUCCUUUUCUGUACCAAAAUUGCCCCAAAAAGGCUUAGCUAGUCGAGUUUGAAAUUUCCAUUUGGGCAGCAAUCAUACAGAUACAUAAGGAAACCAAGUGACAGAAGCUUUUGCUUACCCAUUCUAUUUCUGGAUGAUGAAUUCUCCCUCUCUUUCCCCUCUUCAUGAGGCCCACUGCUGCAACUCGCAGGUACACGAAUAAGUGGUAAGGAUUGCCCAAAAUGCUCUAUGUGGGCGUUUCCUCUUAUUUCCCCUCAUAACAUUAUGGAUUGAAGUAUGAAGAGCAGCAUUCGCCAUUUUAUUCAAAGACAAAGGAAGUGUUUAGAUAACACCUCCUUUCCUCAUAAAUAGUUGUCUCUUACCUGUUAUCAUUCCUACUAGAGACGAAUAAAAACAGAAAAGGGAUUAUAAUAAUUCAUCUAACUUU